rnacentral:misc_RNA from 1 species
GUGAGAUCAUUAAUGUAUACCCAAUACAUUGCAAGCAAAAUUUCAAUUUGUUCAGCCAUUAGGGAUUUUGAAUAAAAGAACAAGCUUUCUUCUUCAGUAAAAAUAGCCAUUUCAAUUGUUUUUCAAUAUAAUGCAUCCAUUAUCGUUUUUUCUUGAACUGAUGAACAAAUAACUUCCAUUGUCAACAUCUCCUAUAAAGAAUCCUAUUUUUUUUGCUCUAAUUCUUU